UCGUAGGCACAUGAACCGGCAGUGCGUGG
rnacentral:sRNA from 1 species